UUAAUGGCCCUGAGCAACCUCACCUGAGGCCUCACCCACGCCCUGCCCAUGGUCCCUGGGCCCUAUUUAAGCUCAUCCCAGGGCCUCCAUUUCUGUUUGAGCUCCUGGGCUGUUGGUCUUUGGCCUUGCUGCUGCCUCCUUGGGCCUGUGCUGGAGUUGGAUCUAUUCUGGAGGGCCCCUUGAAAGCAAACAGUGCCUUUUCCUCAGGAGCUGGAGGAUGAAUUGCUUGGAUCAAGGUGGAGUUCCUCAGACUGCCAGGAUGGUGCUAGCCCUUCUGCUUCUGGAAUAGCAACUCUUCAUCUGUGUUGCAAAAAUAACAUCCAAUAAUGAAAUGAAAACAAGCUGAAUGGCUGCAUUCAGCGGAGGAGGGCAGAGGUAGGCUCAGACAGCUGGAGCAUGUCUGGGCCAGCGUCUCGCUUCUUUUCUCACUGCUCGUUCAGUGCCACUCCAAGAAUGCAGACAAUGCUGGCUACGACUGUUUCAUAUUUGAUUUCCACACUUAAAUCCGUGCUCGUUAAAUGAAACCCCAUUGUCAGGUUGGCAGACAUCCACGCUGCCUCCCCAGGUCUCACUUCGGAGCUCGCUCUGUGGUGGUGUCCCGCUCGGAGCGACUUAGCGAGGACCAGGCCUGGAGGAGCGCUGCCUGUGGCACUGCAACAAACCCUUUUGGACUGCUUCUGCAGCCACAUCUGUGGGUAACCCUCAUAAAUCUUCUGUCUGAGGGCAGACAGAAGUGCUGCAGGGGAGGGAUGGGGUUUUGGAAGGGCCUCAAGAGCGGCGGAUCAAUGGGGUGCUCGGCUGGAGGCAGUCUCGGGGCAAGGUACCGGCCGUGCUGGGCCUGGCCUGCAAAGGGCCAAUAUGGCAAAUAUCCUGCUCCAGGAGGGGUGCUGGGGGUGCUCCUGGGCUGGGUGAGGCCAAGGCUUUAGGGUUUUGCCAAGCUGGGACCGGAGAGUUCAGCAGUCGCAGGGCUUUGCCAGCGGGGUGCAGGGGUGGUGGAAAUGUGGGGAGGGCGGGCAGAGAAAUGCUGUGGAUUGGGAGCAAAGCAGCGCCUGUGUUAAUAACAAAGGAUCACUUCAUGCUCUCUGUAAAAUACCAGGGAGGGCAUGAAAAUUAUGAAUAUUAUUAAUAAAGCUGAAGGGAUUACAAAAUCCAA